rnacentral:rRNA from 1 species
GACGAACGCUGGCGGCGUGCUUAACACAUGCAAGUCGAACGGAAAGGCCCUGCUUUUGUGGGGUGCUCGAGUGGCGAACGGGUGAGUAACACGUGAGUAACCUGCCCUUGACUUUGGGAUAACUUCAGGAAACUGGGGCUAAUACCGGAUAGGAGCUCCUGCUGCAUGGUGGGGGUUGGAAAGUUUGGGCGGUUGGGGAUGGACUCGCGGCUUAUCAGCUUGUUGGUGGGGUAGUGGCUUACCAAGGCUUUGACGGGUAGCCGGCCUGAGAGGGUGACCGGCCACAUUGGGACUGAGAUACGGCGCAGACUCCUACGGGAGGCAGCAGUGGGGAAUAUUGCACAAUGGGCGGAAGCCUGAUGAAGCAACGCCGCGUGCGGGAUGACGGCCUUCGGGUUGUAAACCGCUUUCGCCUGUGACGAAGCGUGAGUGACGGUAAUGGGUAAAGAAGCACCGGCUAACUACGUG